rnacentral:rRNA from 1 species
UUGGAGGGCAAGUCUGGUGCCAGCAGCCGCGGUAAUUCCAGCUCCAAUAGCGUAUAUUAAAGUUGUUGAGGUUAAAAAGCUCGUAGUUGAACCUUGGGCCUAGCCGGCCGGUCCGCCUCACCGCGUGCACUGGCCCGGCUGGGUCUUUCCUUCUGGAGAACCGCAUGCCCUUCACUGGGUGUGCCGGGGAACCAGGACUUUUACUCUGAACAAAUUAGAUCGCUUAAAGAAGGCCUAUGCUCGAAUACAUUAGCAUGGAAUAAUAGAAUAGGACG